rnacentral:snRNA from 1 species
AUCACUUCUCGGCCUUUUGGCUAAGAUCAAGUGUAGUAAAAAUUUGCAGAAACUAAAAAAGAUAAGAUGAUGGUUUAGACCAAUGUGGUAGCAGUGGAAGUAAUAGGAAGUCAUCAGAUUUUGUGUAUAUUUUGAAACUAUAGUCAACUGGAUUUUCUUC